CUUCUCUCCACUCAUACUACACACAGAAAUACGGAAAAUCUGUAGCUGGUCGUAAACAUAUUUAAUUCAUUCAGUACGAGAAAAGUUCAAAGGAAAUCAUAUUUCUUUUCUUCUUCUUUUUUUGUAAUUUUUCUUUUUCUAAUUGCUACUCCCUAAAAAAUGGCGGAAAGCCGAGUGGAGAGCGACAGGAUCGACACUAGAACUGCAGCCAUGGUAGCCAUGGAAGUCCAUCGGCAAAUUCUCUCCGUGCCUUCCCGAGGUGGAUCAACAGAUGCGAGACAAAAAUUGAUGCGAAGGCGAGCAUGAUGUAUAGCGCUAGCGAUAGAUGGGUCUCGCCUUAGGAUAGACGUCGGAAGAAGGGCGAGGGCGUUGCCGAUUACAGAGGUGGACCGCAAGAUGGAUCUCGGGAUGGAGGCUUCACGAUAAUGAUGAUGAUGGGGAUGGAUUCCGGAUGAACUGGGAUGAAGCGUCGUCUUCACAUCCAUGGGGAAGGGAAACGAGAGGGGAAGAGGAGGAUCUGCUUUUUCUUCGAGGGUUACGGACCUUCCGGCAAAUCGUAUGAGAGGGAGUUUUUCUUCUCUUUAUACACACAAAUAUGUGUUGUGCUUUUGGUGGAGCGCUUUGGUGUCUUGCUUUGAAGUUUUCUUGGCUUGGGUCUUUAAUAUUUUUUUAUCGUAUGAGCUGUAUUCCUAUGAUAUUUUAAGUCCGUUUGGCUCGUAUACAACAUUGUUUCUUUAUUACUCGCUGUCUACAGUUUGUGUUGAAUGUGGAAUUUGCAGCUCAUAUUUUCUUGUUGCUCGGCAUGUGUCUUCUAUUCUAUGAAGGUUAAAAAGAGGGAAAUUACAAUGAAAGGAGGAUCACGCUAUUUGGGGGUGAAGCAGAUUCUGCUGCUGGCCUACUGCCAAGCAAUUACCUUUUAUCUCCUCCUUGAGUCUGAGGGACAACCAGUUCGUGACCAUCCUGUUAUAGCUCGCCUUGUGGAGAUCAAAAGCUUAUUGGAGAAGUGCAGUGUAGUAUUCUGAGGGCAGACGGGAAUGACUGGAAGGUUGACAGGAAUGUGCACAUGUAUAUUUGUUCUUCAACAUCUUUUGCAGUUAGCUUUCAGUUUCCUUGAGUGUUGACCGACUAUGCAAGUGCCUGAAGAUUGCUUCUUUUCUCCCCCUACAUUGAGUCAUGCAUAUGACUGUACCACUUCUCUUACUCAAUACAUAUCACUGUACUGGCAUUGCAUGGGGUUUUGUCUACUGUCUUGUUACUUUUCAGUCUUUAUUUUAGAGCUGUCAAAAAUCUUAGAGGCACCAUGUUUGGCAGAUAAAACAACUUGAUGAAAACCUUCCGUCUCACCUUGAAGAGAUUCUAAAACAAAGUACUUCAGAAGAAAUGGCAGAAAAGUUGGUGAAUGAUAAAAAUUUGUUGCAAUCUGAUGAUUCUGAUGAAGAUGACAAUCCCAUUCUACUGCCUAUUGAUGUUCAAGUUCAAGAGGCAAAAAAUGCAUGUUUCAUCUUAAUCAAGAUUGUAUAUUUGCCUCCUUGUGUCUUUGGCAUGAACAUGAACGCUGGUUUUGCAGCCUCAUGUACCCAUUCAGGAUGAUGAGAAUAUUGGAGAGAAACAUAAACCUCAGGUGAGUCUGGCUCAGUUGAAAGCCCAGAAAUAAGGAACAAUUUGGGGUGCAAAGAUUGAAGAUUUGAAAGGUGAUGGCUGCCCUUGAGGAAAAAUUGAGACACAAGACUGUUUUCAGUUCAAUUGCUUCAAAAGGGGAGAAAAACCAAAAAUCUUCAAAACCAUUGAACACAUAAUGCUCUAAUUGCCAACAACUGCUCUUUGCAUUAAUUUAAGGCAUUUACUUCAGUUCCUUCUUCAACAGGCAGCUAGAGACCUAUGCAGAUUUCGAUGAUCGUGCUACUGAAGAUGUAGCAUCUUGUAAUGGGCUGAUGAAUGGGCAUGCGGGAUCGUUGGAAUCAACUAAACUCUCCAAUCUUUUGCGGGUCGAAAACAAGAGACAGAAGAAAUGAAUAUUAUGAAUGAGAAACUCUUCAUCUCCUGGAAGGUCAUAUCGGGUGAUGAUGAUUUGCCAAGGAGGGAUGAUAUUGGAGAACGGUGAAGAAAACAUGAGCUUCAAGUAUUGGCUGGAGCUGGAGUUAAGUCAGAGGAUGAUCUCGGUGAUGAAGAUGGGAAUCUUGAGGCUAAUGGAGGCACUGACUCUGAGGACAGUGAAUAUGAAGAGUCAGCAGAUGAGUUUUAUAAGCAAGUGAAGCAGCAAUGAGCUGCAAAACUUGCUGCCGAAGCAGAGAUGUGUUCAAGGGAUCUGGCCAUUUCAUCCUUGCCUGAAACAGUCGAUAGAAAGCGCCAUAUCACUUAUCAGAGUAAGCAUGAGAAGGCAGUGGUCUGACGAAAAGGGCAAGUUCGGGAGAUCAGAAGCUUUGCGGACCUUGUGGUGGGUAAGCAUCUGGUAUUAAUGCAGGAAUCAGUCGAAGCAUUAGGUUCAAGAGCUAAAUGCUACUUUGGGUGGAAAUCUGUCGUGCGGACUUUGGAUCAACUGGCCGGUGACUUGGGUGACAUGAGUAUAUGUAUGUGUAUAUAUAUAGUUGAGUUUCUAUGAUUGCACAAGAAUCAGAUGGUGUCUAACAGGGAUGUAAGGGACGACUUUGGAGCCCCAGCAGAUACGCGUUACCCAUCAUCGGCCGGCCAUUUUUGUUAAGCAUCAGAAGACUGGGGUUUUGCUUGAGUUGAGGCUGCUUUCCAUGUCGAAGGCAUGUAUGAUUAGCUGGAAACUUCGCCAGAAUUUGGUUUUUCAAAGAUGGUCACUUCUUCCAUUGUCAUUACCUUUUAUUUUGAAAGAAGCCGAUUUGUAUGUUCAGUUCUUACUCCCCGCCCAAAGGGAUUUUUCUCUUCAGGUAAGAUUGAAUAUUGUCGAAUGAAUUUGAGCUGAGGAUGGACUAUGUUUGCGUUA